rnacentral:rRNA from 1 species
AGCUCCAAUAGCGUAUAUUAAAGUUGUUGCAGUUAAAAAGCUCGUAGUUGGAUUUGUGGUGUACUUCGGCGGCCCGUCACUUAGUGAUGGAGCUUGCUGAAGUCGCCAUCCUUGGGUGGAUCCUGUGUGGCAUUAAGUUGUCGUGCAGGGGAUGCCCAUCGUUUACUGUGAAAAAAUUAGAGUGUUCAAAGCAGGCUUAUGCCGUUGAAUAUAUUAGCAUGGAAUAAUAAGAUAGGACCUUGGUACUAUUUUGUUGGUUUGCGCACCAAGGUAAUGAUUAAUAGGGACAGUUGGGGGUAUUCGUAUUUCAUUGUCAGAGGUGAAAUUCUUGGAUUUUUGAAAGACGAACUACUGCGAAAGCAUUUACCAAGGAUGUUUUCAUUAAUCAAGAACGAAAGUA